rfam:Cytophagales bacterium MC1A Contig_22, whole genome shotgun sequence.
GCCCAGUGGAAGCCAGCAACCACUAAAAAAACGGGGCGCUACCGAAAAGCCACACGAGUAGGAUCAAC